AAAGUACUCCCUCCGUCCCAAAAUUCUUGUCUUAGAUUUGUCUAGAUAUGGAUGUAUCAAGUCACAUUUUAGUAUUAGAUACAUCUGUAUCUAGAAAAAUCUAAGACAAGAAAUUUGGGACAGAGGGAGUAGUUG
rnacentral:pre_miRNA from 1 species